rnacentral:rRNA from 1 species
AUACGGAGGAUCCGAGCGUUAUCCGGAUUUAUUGGGUUUAAAGGGUGCGCAGGCGGCCAUUUAAGUCAGCGGUUAAAUCGUGGGGCUCAACCCCAUUCUGCCGUUGAUACUGGGUGGCUUGAUUGCGGUCGAGGUUGGCGGAAUUCGUUGUGUGGCGGUGAAAUGCAUAGAUAUGACGAAGAACACCGAUUGCGUAGGCAGCUGACCAGACCGCAAAUGACGCUCAUGCACGAAAGUGCGGGGAUCGAACAGGAUUAGAUACCCUGGUAGUCCGCACAGUAAACGAUGAAUACUUGUUUUCGGCGAUAUAAUGUCGGAGGCAAAGCGAAAGCGAUAAGUAUUCCACCUGGGGAGUACGCCGGCAACGGUGAAACUCAAAUGAAUUGACGGGG